CACCAGUCUGAUUACAGGAGAUGCCAGUUCAGGCACCCUCUCCAGUAUUGCUCGGAGUCUUAGCUGGGGUCAUCUUGUGGAUUCCUGGGAGUUUCCCUGCAUGCCUGCUUUUUAUGUAAGUGUUGGGAUCUGGACUCAGGUCCUCAGAUUUGCACAAGUACGUCACUAACUGAAACAUCUCCCCAGCCUUCACAUCUCCUUUUAGAAAAGGAUGUUAAAUGGUUCAGGAACAACAGCCUCCAGCCUUCUUCCCGCUGAGGUACCUAGAUUUUUUUCCUAUACUUAUUUCUCUUGUUUCUUUCUGCUGCUGAUUCUGUAGUGAGUGCUGAGGUCAAACCCAAGGCCUUGCACAGCCUGGAGAACACUACAACACUGAACUCGUGUUUCUUAGUGAGUAAGGCUGAGGCUGAUGGGUUCUUCAAGCACUGGACGAAGGACCAAGGUCUCAUAGACUUGCUCCUGUCCUUGCUCAUUCAGUCAGCCAUAUUUAUUCGAUCUGAGGUUUUGAUAAGUGCUAGAAGAGAGAAGUAGGCAUCUUCCUCACAGUACAGGGAGAAUACACAAAUAUUUAAACCCCCUCAGGGAGAGGGGAAAUUAGUCACUAGAGUCCUUACCUAGCGUGUACCAGGCCUGUGGUUUGAUCCACAGCACUACAAAAUAUAAAGACCAACACUUUCCCUGAGAGAAUCAGGGAAAGCAUAAAUAAAUAAAUAAAUAAAUAAAUAAAUAAAUAAAUAAAUAAAUAAAUAAAUAAAUAAAUAAAUAAAUAAGAAGAGGACUAGAGAUGUAGCUCAGGGGUUAGAGUACUGUGUCCAGUUCCCAAAAGGCUUGAAUCACUGUAACCUUGCAUUGAGGGGCUGAAAGGUUAAGAUCCUGUUGAACUAGAUGGAUGGUUUUGUGGUAAGAGCACUUUGCUGUGCAGGCAAGAAGACAUGAGUUUGAAUCCCCCGCACCCACAGUAAACCUGGGUGUGGGAUCUAGACAGAUGGUUCAGUGGUUAAGGAUACUUAACUACUUGUUCUUGCAGAGGGCAUGCAUGGGCUUGGUUCCCAGCACCCACAUGGUGGGCUCACAACUGUCCUUAACUCUGAUUCUGAGGAGCCGUAACCCUAGUACUGUGGGAAAAGAGCAUCACUUGGGCUUGCUAGCUGUGAGCCUGGCUUCCAGAUUUAAUGGCAGACCCUGUUUCAAGAAAGGAAAAAAGUGGAGAAUGAUAAAGUAGUAUUACCUCUUCUAACCCAACAACUAUAGCUGGGGCCAUUUGUGCCAGCAUGCAAGUAUAUGUACAGCACCCACACAUGCAUACAAAUACACACACUCACAUACACGCAUGCACACAGUCCCCCAAAAGAAAAACAAAAGUUCAGGUCAUAAGAAGUUCCAGCAGAAAGGCAAUUAAUAUAAUAAUCAUGGGAGGUUGAGAGGGGAGAUCACUGAAGCUAGCUUGGACAAUUUGGCAAAGCAAGAGUGGGUAUGAAACUCAGUCAGAAAGUACUGGCCUACUAUGCUCAAGGGCCGAGAUUUAGAAGCAGAGGGAAAAUGUAUACACAAAGGUAUGAAAACGUGUGGCCACUCUGUGAAGGAACAUGAUUGGUAAAAGUGUCGGGUAGGUGGCAAUAACACAAAGGAGUUGAAGUGAGUCCAAUGUGAAAGUCUGACAUUGUAAUCCCGAGACUGACAGGAUGGCCAGAAUCAGCUCAGGCAGGGAGGUGAUGACAUCCGGUUUGCAGGCGAAAUGGCCAGCAUGGCUCCUACAGCAAGAGUGAGGAAAAUACAUCUAGACAAGGGCCAGGAGACCUGAGGACAGGCUGUGGGAAAGUCCAAGUACGGGCUGAGGAUGGCCUGAGCUCUGGGGAUAAUGAUGGAGGGAAAGGCUGAGAUGGUGGAGGUAGAUAGGAUGAGGUAAAAUGAGCAGGUUCAGGAGAUGCCAGUGAAUUAUACCUAAGCCAUCCACUUCUGUACACAGAACAUUUUUUGAAGAAAGGAAGAAAGGAAGCACUCUCCCCUUACUAAAGCCCUGUGCCCUCGGGAGAAAGGAGCAUGGAGUUAGAACUGGGAGAAGUUAAACCUCAAGCAUAUUGGUGGAGUAUCACUGUUCUGUUCCUGAGAGCCCCAGGGAAGGAUGCUUCCGGUCAUUGGCUCCUCCUACUGAGCACUGAGGGACAGAACUUCCGCCAACAAAGAACACUGGCUGUUCUUGAAGAGGACCCAGGCUCAGUUUCCAACACACACUGGCCACUCACAGUUGUCAGUAACCCCAGUGGAUCCAGCAUCCUCUUCUGGUCUCCUCAGCCACCAGACACCAGUACAGCCACACACCGACACACAGGCAAAACACCCACACACAUAAAAUAAAAUAAACAAGUCUUUUUUAGAAGAA